rnacentral:misc_RNA from 1 species
UUAACUAUUAUAUAGUACUCAGACGACACUAAUAUUCAGAGUUUUGGGGUUCUUUGGCGGGCACUGACCAGCUCCGCGGAGCCAGUAGCCAAGGCGGCCCGCCAAAGCAACAAAGGUAUAGUAUUCAAGGGUGGGAGAUCUACCCGUGAGGGCAUGAACUCUGUAAUGAUCCUUCCGCAGGUUCACCUACGGAAA